rnacentral:pre_miRNA from 1 species
AGUGGGAUAACUGGGUCAAAUGGUAGUUCCAUUUCAUUUUCUGAGGAAUCUCCAUACUGCUUUCCAGAGUGGUUGUACCAAUUUGCAGUCCCACCAUCAAU